rnacentral:rRNA from 1 species
GACGAACGCUGGCGGCGUGCCUAAUACAUGCAAGUAGGACGCAGUUGCUAACGGGUGAGUAACGCGUAGGUAACUACCUAUUAGAGGGGGAUAACUAUUGGAAACGAUAGCUAAUACCGCAUACUAGUAGAUGGACCUGCGUUGUAUUAGCUAGUAGGUAGGGUAAUGGCCUACCUAGGCAACGAUACAUAUCCGACCUGAGAGUGUGAUCGGACAAACGGGGACUGAGACACGGCCCAGACUCAUAAGGGAGGAAGAAGUAGGGAAUAUUCGGCAAUGGGGGAACACUGAGCGAGCAACGACGCGUGAGUGAAGAAGGUUUUCGGAUCGUAAAGCUCUGUUGUUAAGGAAGCGGUACUUAACCAGAAAGGGACGGCUAACUACGUGCCAGCAGCCGCGGUAAUUC